UUUACUGUCGAGAUAAUUUAUUACGAGAUGCACUAUUCCAAGACUUGAUUUCCUUUUCUUUUUUUUAUGUUCUUGUAUCUCAAGGUCAAGAUGAUCCGAAUUGAGGGCUUUUCGGCAUGCAAAAAAAAUUUCUACUGAAUUCUUUGAGGACUAGAGCCUGCUGUUUUUGCAGCUCUUGUUCCCAACAGUGCGAACAAAUUACUGGCUGAGUUAAUAGAAGAGAUCAUGGGUGAUCAUGAGAGAUUGACCGCAGACCAAUCCAGUACAUUUUAAAACCACUGAGAUCAAGCAACACUUUGAAAGAAAAGGAAUUGAAUUUAUGCCACCAUAGAAAUAUAAGUUGUUGCCAGUGAUGACGUUUAAAUGAUGCCUCCUGAGCCAUUCUUGUAUGGGGCCUUUGCUCUCUUUCCUUUACUUCAUGUAAACUAAAUAACAUUCAAAGCCUCUUUUGUUAGUUUUGAAGUUCUUGUUAGAGAAAUUCAUUUUAAAAUUUGAACAUAUAUUAACAUUUUGGUGAAACAUGGCCAGUAUUUUAAAAUCACAAGGUCUCAAGCAGUAUUUUAAAAUCACAAGGUCUCAAGCUCAAGUUGGUGGUCGAAGACCCACCUCUACUGCUUGCUUGCUUUAUUUCUCAAAGUUCAUGGUGUACUGCUUAUUUUGCAUUACACCUUUUUUUGCUACAAAUAUGAGAAAAGGCCAGAGCUAGAUUGGCAAGGGAUUUGGGGGCUCUCAGCAUUACUUGGGUUGCCAUCUAAGUGGGGCUGGGCAUGGCUUCAGGACGGAUUUGGAGCACACUCCUGCAGACUGGGCGGUGUCAAGCAUAGCAGGCCUGAUGAAUUUUCUGGCUGGGCCAGGCAUUGCCAGUUGCUAAAAUUUAUGAUAAGUAUAUAUUUUUGCAUGUGAUUUGCAGUCCACAUGAUAAUCAUUUUUUGAUAUAUGAUGCAGAUGGGGUUUUCUACCAAACUUUGGUUUGCCCACCAAAAUUUUACCUAGUUUUCGAUAUGCCCUUGGCAUAGCUAAGCCCUGGCCUGGGCGUACAUAAAUGGGCUGGGCUCACGCCAGGUCUGCCCUGCCCGUUGGUUGCCUAAGCUUAGCAUGGAACUUGGAAUUGGAGAUGAAAGAUAUCAGUGGUGAGUAGUGAGACCAUAGACCAUAGACUAGAACCCCUCUUUCUCUCUCUCGCCUCUCUGAUAAACAUGUAUGAAAAAUUUUCUCAAAUGGAGAAUUCAUGGGUGGUUUCCAAUGGAAGUGCUCCAAAAGAAUUGGUUUCAUGGGACUCAAUGAUUUCUUCAUGUAAAUAAGGCUUCGGAGUUAUAGAAACUGAUA